GGACUACUCGGGUUUCUAAUCCUGUUUGAUCCCCACGCUUUCGUGCCUCAGCGUCAAUCUUCGUGUAGCGAGCUGCCUUCGCAAUCGGUAUUCUAUGUCAUAUCUAAGCAUUUCACCGCUACAUGACAUAUUCUGCUCACCUCCACGAUAUUCAAGACAGAUAGUAUCAACGGCAGUUUCCGGGUUAAGCCCGGAGAUUUCACCACUGACUUACCUGCCCGCCUACGCACCCUUUAAACCCAGUGAAUCCGGAUAACGCUUGCACCCUCCGUAUUACCGCGGCGGCUGGCAC
rnacentral:rRNA from 1 species